rnacentral:rRNA from 1 species
CAGCCGCCGCGGUAAUACGAAGGGGGCUAGCGUUGCUCGGAAUGACUGGGCGUAAAGGGCGCGUAGGCGGAUUGUUUAGUUAGGCGUGAAAUUCCUGGGCUUAACCUGGGGACUGCGCUUAAUACAGGCAGUCUAGAGUGAGGAAGAGGGUUGUGGAAUUCCCAGUGUAGAGGUGAAAUUCGUAGAUAUUGGGAAGAACACCGGUGGCGAAGGCGGCAACCUGGUCCUUGACUGACGCUGAGGCGCGAAAGCGUGGGGAGCAAACAGGAUUAGAUACCCGGGUAGUCCCUGUCUCUUAUAU